AAUGAACGCUGGCGGUAUGCCUAACACAUGCAAGUCGAACGGCAGCACAGUAAGAGCUUGCUCUUACGGGUGGCGAGUGGCGGACGGGUGAGGAAUACAUCGGAAUCUACUUUUUCGUGGGGGAUAACGUAGGGAAACUUACGCUAAUACCGCAUACGACCUACGGGUGAAAGCAGGGGAUCUUCGGACCUUGCGCGAUUGAAUGAGCCGAUGUCGGAUUAGCUAGUUGGCGGGGUAAAGGCCCACCAAGGCGACGAUCCGUAGCUGGUGUGAGAGGAUGAUCAGCAACACUGGAAUUGAGACAGAGUCAAGACUCCUACGGGAGGCAGCAGUGGGGAACAUUGGACAAGGGGGGCAAGCCUGCUCCAGCCAUACCGCGUGGGUGAAGAAGGCCUUCGGGUUGUAAAGCCCUUUUGUUGGGACAGAAAAGCAGCAGGUUAAUACUCCGAUGUUCUGACGGUACCCAAAGAAUAAGCACCGGCUAACUACGUG
rnacentral:rRNA from 1 species